rnacentral:lncRNA from 1 species
CGCUUCUCCAUAAAAAAAUCAACCUCACUCUGCAGGAGUCUUCAGGAGGCAUCAUUAAUAUUUUUCUUCAUAUGAAGCUCUCUUCUUUUUAAGAGGAAAUUGUAUCUUAUGCACAUGAGGCUCUAUCUCCCUCUCUCUUUAGAUGAACCACCAUUCCCAUAUAGUGAUCCAAAUAGGGCAUAUAAAUUCUCUGCACUUUGAUCCCAUCCAUCUAAAGUUAGGAAUCCAUACUAAAUAGAAAACUUCUUAUAGAUCUUACAUAUAUCUCAAAAGACUAAGAGAAAUAUCCAAGAGUUUUAAACCUUUUUGGAUUUCUAUUUCUCUUAGGGGGUGUUUGGAUACCUGGAAAUAUAUUGUCUGUGAAAUAUAUUACUAGCGUAAUACAUUACUUGCAAAUGGAUUGUCACUGUUUGGAUAGUAUGUAGAUGCAACCUGGGAAAUACAAUGUUACUGUUUGGCUAUGUUCAGAAGAAAGAUGGGAAAUGCAUUACCAACUCUUUUUUUUCUUUUUUGGCUUUAUACCCAAAAC